rnacentral:rRNA from 1 species
CGGGGAAAGAUUUAUCGCCAAAGGAUUGGCCCGCGUUGGAUUAGGUAGUUGGUGGGGUAAUGGCCUACCAAGCCGACGAUCCAUAGCUGGUUUGAGAGGAUGAUCAGCAACACUGGGACUGAGACACGGCCCAGACUCCUACGGGAGGCAGCAGUGGGGAAUCUUAGACAAUGGGCGAAAGCCUGAUCCAGCCAUGCCGCGUGUGUGAUGAAGGCCUUAGGGUUGUAAAGCACUUUCGUCCGGGAAGAUAAUGACUGUACCGGAAGAAUAAGCCCCGGCUAACUUCGUGCCAG